UACGGAGGGUGCGAGCGUUAUCCGGAAUUACUGGGUUUAAAGGGUGCGUAGGCGGCUCUGUAAGUCAGGAGUGAAAGUUUGCGGCUCAACCGUAAAAUUGCUUUUGAUACUGCAUGGCUGGAAUUAGGAUGAGGUCAGCGGAAUGUGGCAUGUAGCGGUGAAAUGCAUAGAUAUGACACAGAACACCGAUUGCGAAGGCAGCUUACUAAGUCGUAACUGACGCUGAUGCACGAAAGCGUGGGGAGCAAACAGG
rnacentral:rRNA from 1 species